GCAGGUAUGGCGGAACAGGCAGACGCAACAGACUUAAAAUCUGUCGAGGCAACUCAUGCCGGUUCGACCCCGGCUACCUGCACCA
rnacentral:tRNA from 1 species